CGACCCAGAAACAUUGGCUGGAAGGACUUCACUGCCUACAGAUGGCAUCUGACCCACAGACCCAAGACUGGUCUUAUUAGAGUGGUCAUGUAUGAAGGCAAGAGAAUCAUGGCCGAUUCUGGAAACCUUUACGACAAGACCUAUGCUGGUGGGCGACUAGGCUUGUAUGUCUUCUCUCAGGAGAUGGUUUACUUCUCAGACCUCAAAUACGAAUGCAGAGAUACAUAACUGGACCAAAGAGCCUUCCGUCCAUCAGUAUGAAUAUAUAAUAUGAGAACUGGAUCGAUAUCUCUUUAACCUUUUUCUUUUGCCAACUGCACAUUGGAGGAAUGACGAGGAAGUGAGCUAACAUGAGGUAAACUGACCUCAGGACUUGAAGCCAAAUGAAAGUUUAAUGAUGACUCUGCACCACUGCACCAAACUCAAAUAGUGAGUGCAGCUCUGCUCAGAAGACAUUGGCCCUCUCACCUUGUUAUUUUAUUGCUUUGCACACUUGAACGAUUGUUGGUUGGCAGUAUUCCUCUGUGGAUGAGGGACCAAAGGGAAUAGUGUUCCAUGUUUUUUUACUUUUGAGCAUUAAUAUACAUCUGCUGUGGACUCAAAGAUGAUUGUUUCAGUAUGAA